rnacentral:misc_RNA from 1 species
UUCUGCUUAAGCCUUUCUUCUAUCUGCUAAAUUUUCUAUAAACACAUUCGUUAACUUUACAAAUUCAUCGCCGGCAGUGACCGGAAGUUGCAGGGCGCCGGCGUCGUAAGUGGAAGGACGUGCAAACAAGCUUUUGAAGAUGAAGAUUUUUGUGAAGACUUUGAAAGGCACGCACUUCGAGAUCGAAGUGAAACCCGAAGACACGGUUGCUGACGUGAAAAAAAGCAUAGAAACAGUUCAAGGUCAAGAUGUCUACCCCGCUGCACAACAGAUGCUUAUCCACCAGGGUAAAGUUCUCAAGGACCCUACAACAUUGGAGGAAAACAAAGUUGCUGAAAAUAGUUUUGUCGUUAUAAUGCUUUCCAAGAAUAAGGUUUCAACAAGUGGAACCUCAGCUACACAGCCUGCACCUUCAAAUUCGGCCCAGCCUGCAACAUCCACAGGCCAACCUACACAGACAGUAGCACCUCAAGCAACUGCUGCAAGUGUGGCACCUGCACAAUCUGCUCCUGCUCCUGCUCCAGCUCCAGCUCCUGCUGCAGCUCCAGCUCCAGCUCCAGCUGCCGCUAAUCCCCUGACAGACGUGUAUGGUCAAGCGGCAUCAAACCUUGUUGCUGGAAGUACCUUGGAAACUACGGUUCAACAGAUUCUUGAUAUGGGUGGUGGAAGUUGGGAACGGGAUACGGUUGUGCGUGCUCUACGGGCUGCAUAUAACAAUCCAGAGAGAGCUAUUGAAUACCUGUACUCUGGUAUUCCUGAGCAAGCAGAAAUCCCACCUGUUGCUCCUGCUAGCGGACAGGCUGUAAAUCCCCCUGUUCAGGCUUCACAGCCGUCCAGUGGGCCAAAUGCUAAUCCUUUGGAUCUCUUUCCUCAGGGCCUUCCAAAUGUGGGUGCAAAUGCUGGAGCUGGAAAUUUGGAUUUCUUAAGCAAUAGUCCACAGUUUCAAGCCCUCCGAGCAAUGGUGCAAGCAAACCCACAGAUAUUGCAGCCAAUGCUCCAGGAGUUGGGUAAGCAAAAUCCUCAAUUGAUGCGGCUGAUUCAAGAGCAUCAAGCUGACUUCUUGCGCCUCAUCAAUGAACCCGUUGAGGGGGAAGGGAAUGUGCCUGGGCAGCCAGCAGGGGCUAUACCACAAGCUGUGACCGUCACACCUGAAGAGCGUGAGGCUAUUGAGCGACUUGAAGCUAUGGGUUUCGAUCGAGCUUUGGUGUUGCAAGUAUAUUUUGCAUGCAACAAAAAUGAGGAGAUGGCUGCAAACUAUCUGUUGGAUCACAUGCAUGAGUUUGAUGAAUGACAUGGAUGAAACAGAGUGUACUUCAAUCUCUUAGAAUUUUCGUUAUACUUUGUUUUUUUUCUAUCUUCUAAAUCCGGGUGACAUACUUUCUAUCUUGCCAUGUGGAGUAAUUAAAUGCCCUAAUUCACAGUCUUGGAUCUAAACUCUUUCUUUAAUGGAUAUGUUAUAUAAGUUUAAGGACCUGCAAGCUUUCAUCUUGUUCAAGUGCCAUUAAGUUGUAACUAUUUGGGCUUUGGCAAGAAUAACGCG